CAAAGUCGCAUAUUCUUUUCUCAAAGCAAAGAUAGAAGGUUUCACUACUUAAAGAUUUGAGGAAACUUUUUCUUGAUGGAGAAGAUUCUUGAAAAUCAUCCAAUGAUCCCAAUUCAUUCCCAUGCAGAUAGUUACGUACUCUUUUGCUAAGCCUAGGCCUUAGUCAUUGAAUUAUAAUUUGAAAAAUAUAGGAUUAGAUAUCGUCAAUAUCAAAUGGAAAAUUGAGCCAAUAUGAUCAAUUUCCAAAGGACACUGGUUGUGC
rnacentral:lncRNA from 1 species